AUUGAACGCUGGCGGCAGGCUUAACACAUGCAAGUCGAACGAGUGGCGGACGGGUGAGUAAUGCAUGGGAAUCUAGCUUAUGGAGGGGGAUAACUACGGGAAACUGUAGCUAAUACCGCGUACCAUAGGAUGAGCCCAAGUGGGAUUAGGUAGUUGGUGAGGUAAAGGCUCACCAAGCCGACGAUCUCUAGCUGGUCUGAGAGGAUGACCAGCCACACUGUGACUGAGACACGGCCCAGACUCCGACGGGAGGCAUCAGUGGUGAAUAUUGCGCUAUGUGUGCAACCUUACGCAGCCAUCCCGCGUGAAUGAAGAACGCCUCCUGGUUGUAAUGUUCUUUCGAUAGGGAGGCUUUAACGACAGAAGAAGGCCCGGCUAAAUCCGUGCCAGCCGCCGCGGUAAUAC
rnacentral:rRNA from 1 species